rfam:Rattus norvegicus strain BN; Sprague-Dawley chromosome 9 CRA_213000034402860, whole genome shotgun sequence.
UGGUGCCCACUGUGUGGGGCCUGUAUACAGGGGCUUUAUCUUGAGGAAGAAGACUCAGGUGGCUGGCUUUGUAUACAGAAAUUCCUUUGAAUGUCGAGGGAGCCUGCCGUGGCUGAAACGAAGGGGAGUGAUAGAAUCUGAAUAUGGGACAAGCAUUAAGCUAACAUGAGGUCUUUGUGAAACAAUUAAAAGAGGCAUUAAAGGUUCGAGGAGUAAAGGUAAAAACCAACGAUCUGUUUACAUUUUUUGAUUUUGUUAAGGAUCUUUGUCCUU